GACGAACGCUGGCGGCGUGCUUAACACAUGCAAGUCGAACGCUGAAGCACCAGCUUGCUGGUGUGGAUGAGUGGCGAACGGGUGAGUAAUACGUGAGUAACCUGCCCUUGACUCUGGGAUAAGCCCGGGAAACUGGGUCUAAUACUGGAUGCUACAUGUCACCGCAUGGUGGUGUGUGGAAAGGGUUUACUGGUCUUGGAUGGGCUCACGGCCUAUCAGCUUGUUGGUGAGGUAAUGGCUCACCAAGGCGACGACGGGUAGCCGGCCUGAGAGGGUGACCGGCCACACUGGGACUGAGACACGGCCCAGACUCCUACGGGAGGCAGCAGUGGGGAAUAUUGCACAAUGGGCGAAAGCCUGAUGCAGCGACGCCGCGUGAGGGAUGACGGCCUUCGGGUUGUAAACCUCUUUCAGCAGGGAAGAAGCC
rnacentral:rRNA from 1 species